AUCUAGCUUUGUUACUUGUUUUUCGUGUAUAAAUAAAUCUAAAAACAUGUGACUACUAUUAUUAUUCAUUGUUUGUGUCAAACUAAAAAUAAAAAAUGGCGGAGGUUCUGAGGGGGUUUUGGGGUGUAGUUUUUGUUGUGUUUUUGGUACUUAGCAAAUGGGUAGAUUCACAUGAAUUUGAAGAUUCCAUUUUCAUGAAAACCUCUUCUGGUGAUGGUGCCAUUACUCCAACUCCUCUUUUGAUUGCUCUUACCCUCAUUCAGGGAGCUGCUGCUAAAGGAGCUGUGUGUCUGGAUGGAACUCUACCAGGUUAUCACAUACAUCCUGGUUCUGGGUCAGGGGCAAACAGUUGGCUCAUUCAAUUGGAGGGUGGAGGAUGGUGUAACACCGUCAGAAAUUGUGUUUUCCGCAAAACGACCAGGCGUGGCUCAUCAAAAUUCAUGGAGAAACAGAUUCAAUUUACUGGGAUUCUGAGUAACAAGGCUGAAGAAAAUCCAGAUUUUUUUAACUGGAAUAGAGUAAAAGUUCGUUACUGCGAUGGGGCCUCCUUUACAGGGGACAGUGAAAAUAAGGUUUGUAAGGAUGCACAACUGCAAUUUAGAGGUCAACGUAUAUGGGAAGCAGCAAUGGCGGAGUUAAUGUCGAAAGGAAUGCAAAAUGCCCAGCAGGCUCUACUCUCUGGAUGUUCUGCUGGUGGUCUAGCUUCAAUAUUGCAUUGCGAUGAGUUCCGCACUCUGUUCCCAAGUAGUACCAAAGUGAAGUGCCUAAGUGAUGCCGGAUUAUUUAUGGAUGCAACUGAUGUAUCUGGUGGGCACGCACUUAGAGAUGUUUUUAAAGGCGUAGUAAGCGUACAGGGUCUUCAGAAGAUGUUACCAAGUAAUUGUACCAACAAACUUGAUCCAACCUCUUGCUUCUUUCCUCAGAAUUUGAUCGGCAAUAUCAAGACUCCAUUAUUUCUUCUAAAUGCUGCCUAUGAUUUCUGGCAGAUUCAAUCCAGUUUGGCUCCUCCAGUAGCCGAUCCUCAUGGGUUGUGGCAUGAUUGUAAACGUGAUUACAAAAAAUGUUCUGCAUCACAAAUUCAAUUUCUACAAGAUAGAAUCUAUUUCCCACCAUGCGGUUCAAUAAGUGGGAAGAUGAUGUUUUUACAAUUCAAAGAUUCACGGUGGGAAAACCAUUAUUUCUGGUGGUAAUUCCUAGACCAUGGACUCACAUGUUGAUGAAAUACAAUUUGGGGACAGAUUUCAGAAAUGAUAUGCUAAAUGCUAUUAAAGGCUUCGGUGCCUCAACACAAAGUGGGUUGUUCAUAAACUCUUGCUUCGCUCAUUGCCAAUCCGAGAGGCAGGAUACAUGGUUUGCUGACGAUUCUCCCCUUAUCGAUAACAAGACGAUUGCACUUGCAGUUGGAGAUUGGUAUUUUGAUAGAGAAGGAAUGAAGGCGAUUGACUGUGCUUAUCCAUGUGAUAAAACAUGUCACAACAUGGUGUCUAAAUAAGCAACAAUUUACAAUCAUAUUAUUUUUCUGCCAAUAUUGCAGAAACAAACUCAUUAUUCAUCAUUAAAUAUGAGUAAUUUAUGGGUAUAUCAAUUGCACUUCCCUUGAAAUAUGUAAGCCUGUUGAAACCUCUACAGAACACUUGUGAAAGAUUUAUUUGGUAUAAGAGAAACUUCAUUUCCAAUUGUCUCA